CCCCUUUCAGGACUGCACCUGGAGAGUUUCCAGUACUCUACCAGUCUCGGCUACAGGAGGGAGAGUCAAGCAGAGGCAUAUCCAUUCCAUUCCUAGCUUGGGCAGUGGCUAGUGAGUGGAAGGCAAUCUGCUACAAGU
rnacentral:snoRNA from 2 species